ACGUAGGGUGCUAGCGUUACUCGGAAUCAUUGGGCGUAAAGGGUGCGUAGGCGGAACGGUAAGUCAGAUGUGAAAGCCUUGGGCUCAACCCAAGAAGAGCAUUUGAUACUGUCGUUCUAGAGUACAGGAGAGGAAGGUGGAAUUCCCGGUGUAGAGGUGAAAUCCGUAGAUAUCGGGAGGAAUACCAGAGGCGAAGGCGGCCUUCUGGACUGACACUGACGCUGAGGCACGAAAGCGUGGGGAGCAAACAG
rnacentral:rRNA from 1 species